UCGAGAUUUGGAGUCGUUCAAAUGUAAUAGGUAAUAAAAUUGUCUGGCAGCUUCCACAGUCACAAGAUUUUUCCUUUUUUACGCCAGUUUCUUCUCUAGCAUGGAGACUGGCAGAGAGCCCUUGUGUUUAUGUCCAUAGAACCGGACAUGACAUUGUUAUUGUUGUUAUUAUUCGCUCCUGUAGAAUGCAACCCAGGGCCAGCAAUAUAUCUGAUACCGACAGCUGACAUGCCGAAGUCACAGAACAGUGACACAGCUUGCGCCUCUCCUGAGGCUUUAUUACACCGCCCGCUAAGAAGAAGAAGCACCUCACCGAGGCAAGGCAAGGAAAGGGCAUUAACUACAAUUUUUCACAUUCACGCAAGGUUGCAUGUACAGUUCCAUUUUUAUGGACACGGGGAUGGAAUUCAUCCGACCUAGUUCCUCUGGGAUCCUUUUAUCCCCAACAGAGAGAAGCAGGAGCUUUUGAAACGCAAUUCAUCUCGUCAUCCUGCAGCAGACAUCUGAGAAACGUCCAGUGAAUGUGACCGUGGAAGCGCCUCUCUUGCCGUGAGACAGCCCAGGGCAACGAGGGCAGCCCGUCCCGCGCUGUCCCGCACAGCAGCCUCGGCUCACCCGCCCCAUUUCAUCAGUCUAAAAAAUGCAGUAGUCUAAGAGCACGUUUCCCUGCAAUGUGGUGAAACUUGAGAACGGAGCACUGAGUAUUUUAACUUCUUAACAAGGGAAACGGCAACCCAUGUAGCACCCGAACAGCCCUUCGUGCAGGGAAGAGCAGCGGCGGAGGGACACCGCUCUCUGUCACCGCACUGCGUCACACAGCGGAAAAGCUCCCCCGGGAGCGCAGCGGCUGCCAAACUGCUUGGCCAGCGCUCAGCUCCACACUUACGUGCUUUGCUGAACAGCAGUCAUUUCAGCAUGCGCUUCAGGUGAAGCACUUGCUCUCUGUCUUUGCUACGUCGGGGCCCCUAAGGUUAAUCCCUGUGGGUUUUUUACAUUAACUUGGAAAUAUUUCACAAACUAUUCUGUGCCAAUUGCAUGUUAAAAGAAGUUACAACAAUACAUCUCCCAUUAGUAAUCCAAUCAGGUUCACUAUAAUGAGCAACACAGAAAGAACUAAAAAGAUGUCCCGAGCUCUGCCAGCUGUCUUGUGCUGCCGGUGUACUUAGAAAAUACAUGUCAGCAGCUCAGCAAAUCCUUGACAUCACCAGCAGGGUCAUAUGGGAAAUAAUUCCUUACAUUUCCAAAUGUCAGGAGGCUGCUUUGCUGUGAGAGCUGGCUCUGGAGCCCUUCCCAGCAGCAGCGACGCAGUGUGAGCGCUGGAACACUCCUCCUGGAGUCCUCGUUGGGGCCUCAAAAGCUUGUUGGUGACAGACCUUUAGUGACUGCUUCGCCAUUUCCCUGGAAAUACCAUGCACACUCGAUACAAAAAUGUUAACUAAACAUCGUUGUGUAUUUAACGAGAAAACUGUGGUAAUUACAAAUAAAACAAAAGCCCGGAGAAUAGGCCGAAAAGCUGUAGAAGCUUUGCUGUUUCCACUACUUGCAGCCAUGACACAUGGCAAAAGCUUAGCUAUUUCCAUUCUUUGUAGCUGUUCUUUGUUUUCCUGCUGGACUUAACUGUACCGGCUGUUACUCAAAUACUGGGAGACGCUACUUGGAAGGUCACUGUAACGUGCCAACGCGUAGACUUUGCACUGUAAAUCCCGAGCGCUUUCAAUCAUCCGCUGACAGCAGACACAAAGGAAAUCUAAAUAAACCAUGAUCUUCACAAAUACAGAUGGUUUGGGGUUUACAGAAUUGGCUUGAACAGAUUAAUAGCGCCACAACCUAAGCAGAUUUAGGAAAUCAGCUGGAUGCUUGACAGGCUUAGCAACCGCGUGAUGGUAACGAACCGCGGCCAGAGCCGCCCAGUGCCGAGCCGUUCUGGUCACCGGGCUGCAAUGUCACAGCCAGUGCAGGGUCCCCAGUGCCGAGCCGUUCUGGUCACCGGGCUGCAACGUCACAGCCGGCGCAGGGUCCCCAGUGCCGAGCCGUUCUGGUCACCGGGCUGCAAUGUCACAGCCGGCGCAGGGUCCCCAGUGCCGAGCCGUUCUGGUCACCUCUUCUCCAGUCUGGCCAUACGCUGCUGAUGGAAGGAUUGGUGCUUUAGAUCCUGGAGCAUUUUUAUUUCCCUGCAAUGUACCAUGUAUCAUUUUUAGGUUAAGUCUCAGACAUGGCCAAUCUCAUCAGUUGUGUACUCAGUUACCAUGCUGAAUGCAUUACGACUGAAAACAGAUCAGAAGAUGUUGUUGGAUGCUAUUGCCCUUCUAGCAGUCAGCCGGAAUCUCAGUUCUCUCCUGCUUUGAAUUUCAACAUGAAAGGCCUUUCUCCUCUAAAACAGACAGCUUGUUUCUACAUUUUUAGCUACAGUGGAUCCACAGCCUGACUGAGAACACAGGUCAUAAAGUCCUGAGGUAGGCACACGGUUAAGGACUGAAAAUACACCACGUUCAAGCCGGGAUUUGUUUUAAAACUCUGAUGGUCUCCUGCAUUUUAUGGCAAAUGCUUAACUUGUAUAUUGGGAGAGUUAUUCAGCUGCCGUGAUAAAUCUUGCCCAAAAGUCAUUAUUUGCCGUUGUCAUACCUUCAUAGGCUGUGCCUCAAGGCUACGAUUUUGUGCAACCACGUGUUAUUGUCCCGUGUGUUAUGAAUAGAUUUUGUAGGCCACCUGC